AGCAGCCGCGGUAAUUCCAGCUCCAAUAGCGUAUAUUAAAGUUGUUGCAGUUAAAAAGCUCGUAGUUGAAUUUCGGGAUUAGUACGCUGGUCGUGCCUCUGGUAUGUACUGGUGCUACUGAUUCCUACCUUCUGACGAACCGUCAUGUCAUUAAUUUGGUGUGGCGGGGAAUCAGGACUGUUACUUUGAAAAAUUAGAGUGUUUAAAGCAGGCUCGCGCUUGAAUACAUUAGCAUGGAAUAAUGAAAUAGGACGUUCGAUCCUAUUUUGUUGGUUUCUAGGAUUGACGUAAUGAUUAAUAGGGAUAGUUGGGGGCAUUAGUAUUCAAUUGUCAGAGGUGAAAUUCUUGGAUUUAUUGAAGACUAACUACUGCGAAAGCAUUUGCCAAGGAUGUUUUCAUUAAUCAAGAACGAAAGUUAGGGGAUCGAAGACGAUCAGAUACCGUCGUAGU
rnacentral:rRNA from 1 species